GACGAAAGUUGGAGGCGUGCUUAACACAUGCAAGUCGAACGGAAAGGCCCUGCUUUUGUGGGGUGCUCGAGUGGCGAACGGGUGAGUAACACGUGAGUAACCUGCCCUUGACUUUGGGAUAACUUCAGGAAACUGGGGCUAAUACCGGAUAGGAGCUCCUGCUGCAUGGUGGGGGUUGGAAAGUUUCGGCGGUUGGGGAGGGACUCGCGGCUUAUCAGCUUGUUGGUGGGGUAGUGGCUUACCAAGGCUUUGACGGGUAGCCGGCCUGAGAGGGUGACCGGCCACAUUGGGACUGAGAUACGGCCCAGACUCCUACGGGAGGCAGCAGUGGGGAAUAUUGCACAAUGGGCGGAAGCCUGAUGCAGCAACGCCGCGUGCGGGAUGACGGCCUUCGGGUUGUAAACCGCUUUCGCCUGUGACGAAGCGUGAGUGACGGUAAUGGGUAAAGAAGCACCGGCUAACUACGUG
rnacentral:rRNA from 1 species